GCAACCGUAGGUUUCAUCCAAACGCCAUUCUACUUUCCAUUCCAUUCAAAGACGUUCAAAGAAAAGAUUGGUCUUAAAGAAGUUUGUUUUGUGGUUUUUACAGUUUUUACAAAAACAACGUUGUAGAAAUGUCCAAAUAUUGCGUAUUGGUCAUGAAUUUUAUUAUCAUCGAAUAAACACAAAAGAAGGCAGAUAUUCAAUUCUUUAUUUCAAAGAUGAUUAAGAACAAAUUGUUGGAGCGGCAGUGAUAUCUUCAAUAAGAUGGCGAUCCACCUCACUAUGCCGUUCCAGUUCGAGCUUAUUGCAACCACUUAUUUUCCAAUUGAUGGAUUGGGAGAAGAGGGCUAAUGAGUGGCCAGCAAUAUAAUCAGAUUUCACUCCACUGGACUCUUUCUUUUACCGAUAUCUGAUGGGUAAAGUUUACACUACUGGACCAAAUACUUUGGAUGAACAAAAAAUCAGAAUCCAAGAAGAAGUUGUCAGGAAGAAUUUAAAAUCGUUUAGGUUGCUGAAAAGCACUCACAACAACAACGACAAGUGCUCAACAAGUUGCUCAAGGUGACACCCAACCCUCUAAAAGUAUAAAUAGUACCAAUUUGUCUCUGUUGUGCACUAAUUAAUCUUGCACUGAAAUUACAAACACCUUCAAGAAAGUUACUUUGAUUAACAAUUAAAUGACACCAACUAUGGUUUUGCUGUAGUCGAACUUUCGAAGACAAUUCCUCAGUUUAACAGCUUGUGUGCGAACCACAUGGAUUUAUGAUGGUCAAUCAUUGUGCAACUAAAGUGGGGCCAUUACGUUGAUAGUAAAUAUUUUGUUUGAUAUUCAAUGAAACUUCCUUCAGCAUCAAUUUCGAAAAAUGAAAAUUGUAGCUGAACGUGACUUUUCCACUGUCACAUAUGGGUUUUUAUCAGACCAACAUGCAAUAAUAUACACAUUUAUAUUAUUUCCACAAUAUGCUGCUGACAUGUCUCAAUGAUUUCAUGUUUGUGAAAUAUAGUUGGGAACCGGUCUUUUAUGGCUGUGCUAUGGAUCGAUACACAAGUGUUCUGCCAAGAAUGAUUUCCAGAGAACUUGAAUAAUUCUUUGUGGAAUGCAUGUGUAUGUGCAACCUGUACAUUUUGGGAUCUGCUUUUUUGGUAAUUUGUUUUAUUAAAGUUCCCAAAAUGUAACUCCUAAUACUGAAUGUUAUGUCCUUAUAAGUCUGCUUAUUUUUCUGUGUACUGGAUAUUAUGUAACUGUUCACAUAAUUCAUCAUGUAUCAUUUUUAAAAUUAUAACCCAGAACCCAAAUAUUAAUAAUAAAAGUUGCACUCAA